rnacentral:lncRNA from 10 species
GCCGACUUGCCAAGUCUAAUUUGGGAAACUUUGAAGGACGGGCUUCACUAUAUCAGUGAUUGAUUUGUUUACAUGAAAUAGAAGCCCACUCCAGCUAGUUUAAGCAAAAAAUGUAAUUCAAUAUAAGGCGUUAGAACUAUCUCACAGAUCUCAAGGGCAGGCAAGUCGCACAAGGACCUUACACUCAGGACUGGUGUUGGGGGAAUGCCCACCUUUCCGUCCACUUCUCUCAAAACACCAAUUUCCUUUCUGUCUUUCAGACACGUGUCCCAAGCAGCCCUCCUUGGCAAAUCUACAUUUCCUUACCCAACCAGGACCUGUGGCAAACAGUCUGGCCUCUCCUUGUCCUAAUUCCAAAGUUCAGGAAUCUGACUGGCCCAGCCUGGCCUCUAGAGUGGUUGCCUGUGAGUCAGGUACCUGCUUCUGCCCCAGUUAACUGGACAAGGAGGCUGGGCUGCAUAGAAGAACCAAGGACCCAGGAGACUCCCUGGGCUUGUGGGCUGAGCAGGUACCUACUGAAGAAACCUGAAGAAAACUGAAGAAACCUACUUCAGUUUGGCCGGUCCUGGGGACUAGGAGCAGGCCAGAAGGGCCCCAUUGUCUAGGGAGGAAGAAGAGGAUACCACCUGGGCAGAGUGCUUCUGUAGCAACCGGACAGCCAAAGGUCACCCUGGCCAUCUUCAGCGCACCCUCCCAGCACUCCCAUGGGCCCUGCCUGAGCUGUACCCCUUCCCCUCCUCCUGCCCCCUUGUACGUCCUGUGUCCUGCCUCAAACCCGAGCCAAGUCUAUUCUCUAGGGGCCAACUUCGGCUCCAGCUAAGAAAGAGUUAAAACAAAGCCAUCCAGAGCUGGCACAGUGGCUCACACCUGUAACCCCAGCACUUUGGGAGGCCGAAGUAGGAGGAUCACUUGAGGCCAGGAGUUUGAGACAAGCCUGGCCAACACAGUGAGACCCUCAUCUCUAAAAAAAAAAUUUAAAAGUACAUUUUAAAAAAAUAUUUUAAAAAAUGCCAUCCGGCCAGGUGCGGUGGCUCAUGCCUGUAAUCCUA